GUUCAAACCCUGAAGGCAUGAUAUACAUAGCAUGGCACUGAAAUUGAGCAACCUAUAUAAAGUUCGUCCAAGCAAUAUCUUCUAACAGUUCACCUGCAGUCAUCUUCUAUUAACAACGUAUUGUUACCCAAUACUAAAGUGACACGCAAUGAAGCUCUUCGCGAUUAUUCUACUCACGCUGGCGCUGUUGAGCAUGGCCGCCGGUGCUCCCUUCCUAAUCACGCUGAAACUUAAGAAAGUGGUCCGACCCCUACUAAUCAAAGCUUGGAAUGCUCACGUCGUCCCUACGGUGGAGAGCUUUGCGAAUCAAGUUGUUGUCGGGCCGCCACCAGUUUUUCCAGUUCCAGUUCCAGCUCCUGUCUUUUAAAUUGUGGUUGCUUUUGUUUGUUCGAUUUUAUAGCGUACAUUAAAAAGACGAAUUGUGAAAAUAAUAA